UCACCCACUCUCCCCAGAUUCGAACUGCUGACCUGUCGGUCAGCAGUCCUGUCAGCAUAAGGGUUUAACUCACUGCACCAUCAACUCUAUGAUCCUGUCCAUACAGGAUCAUAGAGUUAUCCAUACAGGAACACUCAAUCAAAGCACUCUCAAGAAAUGGCCAUCCAGCCUCUGCUUUAAAAUCUCCAGGGAUGGAGAUUCCAGCACACUCUGAGGCAAUAAAUCCCACUGAUGAACAGCUCUUACUGUCAAGAAGUUUUUUUUAAUGUUUAGGUGGAAUCUUUUUUCCUGCCAUUUGAAUCCAUUGCUCCAUUGUGUCCUAGUCUCCAGAGCAGCAGAAAACAAGCUUGCCUUUUCCCCAAUGUGACAUCCUUUCAGUCUUUUCUUCUCCAUGUAAACAAACCCAGCUCUCUCAGCUGCCCCUCAUUGGGCUUGGCUUCCAAACCUUUGACCAUUUUGGUUGCUCUUCUCUGGCCCAUCUCGUCAAUAUCCUUCCUUAAUUAUGAUGCCCAGAACUGGACACAGUAUUAUUCCAGGUGAGGCUUGACCAAAGCAGGUGAGAGUGGGACUAUGACUUCCCUGGAUCCUGACACUACACUCCUUUGCCUUUUCUAGAUGCUGCAUCACACUGUUGACUCCAUGUUAUGUCAACCCUGAGACCCCUUUCACAUGAGCUGUUUCUAAGUCAGGAGCCCCCCAUCCUAUAUCUGUGCAUUUCCUUUUUAGGGCCAAAUUGUAACAUUGGAUGUUGAAGAAGGCUUUCAUGGCCAGAAUCACUGGGAUGCUGUGUUUUCCGGGCUGUAUGGCCAUGUUCCAGAAGUAUUCUUUCCUGACAUUUUCCCCGCCUCUAUGGCAGGCAUCCUCAGAGGUUGUGAGGUCUAUUGGAAAUGAGUCAAGUGGAGUUUAUAUAUCUGUGAAAUGUUCAGGGUGGACGAAAGAACUCUUGUCAACUUGAGGCAUGUGUGAAGGAUGAAAGAAAGUUAAAAUCUGGCUUGGGGAGCAAGCCUUGGAGAAGUAGUUGUGCAAUAAGUUUACUUGAAAUCGUGACUCUGGAUUGGCCUUAGACCUUGUUUUUGGAUGCUGUGUCUUAACAUUGAAUUAUAUUUAAAUAUGUUUUAUGUAUGCUUAUGUUAAUCUUAAUGUAAAUUUGUAUCUUUUAUGUUAGGCACUAAGUAGUGCAGUUUGUAAGCCGCUUUGAGUCCCCCCACGGGUUGAGAAAGGCAGAGUAUAAAUAUGGUAAAUAAAUAAAUUAUACAAUUGGCCACCUUGAUUAGCACUGAAUGGCCUUGGAGCUUCAAAGCCUGGCUGCUUGCUGCCUGGGGGAAUCCUUUGUUGGGAGGUAUUAGCUGGCCCUGACUGAUUCAUGCCUGGAAUUCCUAUGUCUUCUGAGUGUUGUUCUUUGUUUACUGUCCCGAUUUUAGAGUUGUUGUUUUUUUUAAUACUGGGAGUCAGAUCGUGUUCAUUUUCAUGGUUUCCUCCUUUCUGUUGAGAUUGUCCACAUGCUUCUCUGCGUAGCCUGGCAUGGUAGUUUUUGGAGUGGUCCAGCAUUUCGGUGUUCUCAAAUGAUAUUCUGUGUCCAGGUUGGUUCAUCAGGUGCUCUGCUCUGGAUGACUUCGUCUGCAGUGCUUUUCAUGUUCCUUGAUGCUGCCCUUUUCUCCUUGUAAGCCCACGAGGGCACCAGAUUGAUUCCAAGCGGAUCCUCCGUGUUCUCCGUGCUCUCCGUUGUCCAGCUCCCGCCGCCCUGCCUAGAGGUGGGCGCUCCUGCGCGACAGCGGGGAGGGGCGCGGGGGCUCCCAGGCGGCGUGGCGCACCCCUCGCGGGGCAUCCGGGCCUCGAGGGCACUGGGUCGCGGCGGAAGCGCCACGGGCCCCGGUCCCUCGUGCUCAGCGCCCGGGAAUGAGCUUCCGGAAGGAAGUCCUUCCAGGCAGGGACCGGCCCGACGGGCUCGACCUCAUUCCUGCCGCCUGCCUCACAUCCUGCGAGAGAGGCCCAGAGAGGGAGGGAAGAGGGCGGCCAAGGGCGGGGCGGGGCCCGCGUGAACCCCGUGAACCCCCCUUUUGCGGGGGAAGGAAGCAAGGAAGGCAAGAAAGAAAGAACGAAAGGGAGAAAGUCCAAAACCCCCGGAGGGUCCGGGGCACAUCACAGAUUGAUACAUUCCUACACAGAAGAUGCACAGCAAACCACCUGUUUUACAUGAACUUUGCAUUAGUACCUGCUCCAUGAACUGUCACUUGAAAGCAUGAAUUGCAACAGCCUGUAGCAAGGAGGCUGGGUCAGAACCUACUCGGUUGAGAAGCCAUCUCUAGCAGGCUCUUCUUUCCAGCAAAGGCCACCCAGCAGCAGCCCUGGCAUCAAUCUUUGGCAGAAAGAGAGGGGAAGUAGACACUUUCCAUCUCUGUUCAACUCAGCUGAGAUAAUAGCAGUGUUUGGUUCAUCUUGAACUGCUUUCCAUUCUAAAUGAUAUCAGAAGAACUUUGUAAUGAAGAAAUUGGGCAUGGGUUCAUGGUUUGUGCCCUGCAAUCCAAAUCCUUUCCCCUUUGUCUCAUGUCGUUCUGUUCUGGAUCUCCUCAUCAUCGCAUUUUCAAAGUAAAAGACAUCAAGAAGGAGUUUACCAGUGUCUUCUGCACACUAACAAUAAGAGCUACUAAGUAUCACUCCAUUUGUCUAUAAAGGGUCUUCCAUCAGUGUUAUCUCCUCCUCCUGCUCCCUAGUAGCUUCCCUUCCAAAGUUUCUCUGUCCCCAUAACAUUUGUCUUCUGGUGAUCCAGUUGUUACUCCUUGAAGUCUUUGGCCUCUUCCACACAGCUGAAUAAAAUCCCACAUUAUCUGUUUGGAACUGGAAUAUAUGGCAAUGUGGAUUCAGAUAACCCAGUUCAAAGCAGAGACUGUGGGAUUUUCUGCCUUGAUAUUCUGGGUUAUAUGGCUGUGUGGAAAGGCCCUUUGACUGGCGUAUCCAGUCAACAUUGAGUACCUUUGGUUACCCUACUAGGAAUCUGGAUUCUUGAUUGGGUCUAGUCACCUGACAAUAUUAUUCUUAGAUUUGCUGACAUACUCAACCAAGCUUACCAUAUUAAGGUAUGCUUCCAAUAAAAAUUUCAAAAAAGCAUCUUAUAACAAAUAACCUAGAGUUUUAGAAAGUUACAUGAAAGCUAUUUUCAAAUCCCUUAGAAGAGACAAAUUAUCAAGACCAUGUAUACCAACAGAGCUGUUUUAACCACAGAGAACAAACUGGGCAUGCUGUCUCCACAACAAAAGAGACACCAGGGACUGCAGGAAUCACUGCAUAACUACAAAUAUCUCCCAUGUGAGCGUAGUAAUGCUCAACAUUUUAUAGCAAAGGCUUUUACCAAGUAUGGAGCAAGAAAUGCCAAAGUUAUUUUCAGAAAAGUAAGAAACAUUAGUGAGUAUAUCGCAAACAGAUACUUGCUAAUGGAGCAAAAUAAAUACUUUCAGAAGAAAUUUGCCUUGUUGUACAAAAAUGAUGCUAAAGUCUUUAACUAUGUAAAUAAUAUAGAACUGUGGAUCACUAAUAAGAAAUGAAAAGGCCACAACAUUUGAUUGACUACAUGUUCUGUAUACUGCACAAAAAUUAUGUAUAAUAACAUUUUUGGAAUGAUGCCCCAUUU